rnacentral:lncRNA from 1 species
AUGGAAGCCCGAGAGUCAGCCCCAAACAUUUCUUGGGGGCACACAGGAAGUGUGGCGAAGCCAGGUAGGAGACCUGCGCCAACUUCCUGUGCUUACCGGAGGGCGAGAGAGACCGGGCAGGCACCGUGUUAUGCUGUGGAGCGCACGGUGUCCCCAGUGCGGUUGCAUAGCCCGAUGCGGUACAUACCAGCUCCUCGGAUCGGCCGGGCUAGAGUGGGCAUCGAGCCAGGUGCCAUGAAGCCGGCUCUACGCAUCUGGUCUCCAGUGCAUCUCCUUGGGCCGGCGUACAUGGCACCAGCCUUGCGCAUGGUGUCGGUUCGCCCGCACAGCCCAGUGCGGGCUAUUCCACCUUGCCGUACUGGCAGGGCGACUGGGAGCAUUCAACCAGGUAAGGUUGGGCAGGCUCGGUGCUCAAGAGCUCCAGUGCGACUGCACGGUCCGGUCUAUCCAGUACCACCUCCACGCAUCAGCCCUCCGGUGGCAGCUCCCCACACUCGCCCUGAGGUGCGUGUCCUCGGCCCAGUACCACCAGUGCCGGCACCACGCACCAGGCCUACAGUGCGCCCCGUCAGCCAGGAUCCGCCAGAGUCUCCCGGUCAGCCAGGAUCCGCCAGAGUCUCCCGGUCAGCCAGGAUCCGCCAGAGUCUCCCGGUCAGCCAGGAUCCGCCAGAGUCUCCCGGUCAGCCAGGAUCCGCCAGAGUCUCCCGGUCAGCCAGGAUCCGCCAGAGUCUCCCGGUCAGCCAGGAUCCGCCAGAGUCUCCCGGUCAGCCAGGAUCCGCCAGAGUCUCCCGGUCAGCCAGGAUCCGCCAGAGUCUCCCGGUCAGCCAGGAUCCGCCAGAGUCUCCCGGUCAGCCAGGAUCCGCCAGAGUCUCCCGGUCAGCCAGGAUCCGCCAGAGUCUCCCGGUCAGCCAGGAUCCGCCAGAGUCUCCCGGUCAGCCAGGAUCCGCCAGAGUCUCCCGGUCAGCCAGGAUCCGCCAGAGUCUCCCGGUCAGCCAGGAUCCGCCAGAGUCUCCCGGUCAGCCAGGAUCCGCCAGGGUCUCCCGGUCAGCCAGGAUCCGCCAGGGUCUCCCGGUCAGCCAGGAUCCGCCAGGGUCUCCCGGUCAGCCAGGAUCCGCCAGGGUCAGCCAGGAUCCGCCAGGGUCAGCCAGGAUCCGCCAGGGUCAGCCAGGAUCCGCCAGAGUCAGCCAGGAUCCGCCAGAGUCUCCCGGUCAGCCAGGAUCCGCCAGAGCCGUCAACCAGCCUGAGCUACCUCUCGGUCCUGAGCUACCUCAGUCCCGAGCUGCCCCUCGGUCCAGGGGAGCCCUUUGUUAG